CGCACGCACACACACACACACACACCUAUUGUGUAUAUUCAUUGUAUUUUUCUAAAAAUACAAUUAUGAAACAAUUGAAAAUAUGUAUUAAAAGUAUUGUGUACUAAUAAAUAAUUCUAGAAAUGUAUUUUUCAAAAGCAUUCCAAACAUAUUUUCAAAUGCACAAAAACUUUCCUUACACUUCAUGGCAAAUAUAUUUGUUCUUACAUUUAUUAUUCAAAUGAGAAUUUUUUUAACAGAAAAAAUAUGAACCUUGAAACCCGCUUCAUUAAAUGACCUUCAAACUUGUUCUAUGCUCGGCAUACAACACUAAACGCAACAUGCCAAUUUUUGGCACUUUUAGGACCUUCUUGAUAUAUUUAUGUCAUUAAGUGCAUAUCUAGAAAUUUAAUGGAUACAAUUGAAAUUUAAGUUGAAAACACUUGAAAUAGUUUUCAGAAAUGGGUUGAAAGAUCUUAUUGGUGGUAUUUACUAUAGGAUUAUGCCAAGACUCGAGCAGCAACAUGGAACAUGAUAACAAGAAAAGUAUUUUAAAUUUAGGAAAAAAUGCAAACAAAGUGUGAAAAACAUGGAAUCUCGCAUGGUGUCAUGAUAUGACAUCUAGAUUCUUUGGUAAAAUAAUCAAAAAUAUUUCACACAAAAAAUCAUGCAAACUGCUUUGAAGUCGAACAAUCUGCAAGGAGGAAUCAUGAUCUCCAAAGAGAAUGUGUUAAGUUUGAAGGAGAAAUGAUACUUGUUCAAUCCUUUAUCCUUGAAUCUUUUUGGACACCUAACAUACACCAUCACAUAUCAUAUGUCAAAUUUUGACAUUUUUCAUGUUUUGUUUGCUAUUUCAAAGUCAUUUACAACAUUUCUAUGCAUUUGAUAGAUACAUCCUAUUUACAAUCACAUUAAAAUAUGAGAAAGGGGUUAAAAAUUAUAUUUGUCUUCCUCCCUCUAUGUUUAUAUUAGGCCCUAUGAAAGGAAUGAAAAGAAAUUCCAAGGAUGGACAUGGCAAGAAUCGAGCACAAACUUGGGGUUCUUGGUUUAUUUUUUAAAUAAUAUUUUUUAUAUUGCAUGUAAUUUUUUAUUGGGAUAUACGUAUAAUAUAAUUUUUUGCAAGUUACUUGACAAAGGUUUUUGUUUUGAGACAAAGGUGGCUUUAUUAGUUUUUUCUAGGGGAAAGCUUUAUUAGUUAUUUGAAAAAUAGAAAAAGUUUUAAAUCUGGGCGGCCUCACUCACGCGGGGCUGGAAUCAGCAAAAGCCCAUAUGGUUCUCAGUCGAGGGGGGCGAUCCUGCGUGAGACAAACCGUGUGUUUUGAUUGGCUGAGCCUACCCGCACAUGGAUCAAGCAUCUCCACCGUUCGAUUUUCCGAGAUCAAAUGGUUGGCACACAAUCCCUAAUUCCCGAUCCAUCUCUUCUUUCUUCCCCACCGCACAGUCGCCGGCUUCCAGUGCCUUCCUUUCUCCCAUCUCCUUCUCCAGUCGCCGCCUUCCAUCCCCUCCUAGCUCCUUCUCCCGGCUCCGAGUCCACACCGUGGCAAGCACCGAGGGCGCGACGUCCAGGCCGACCCACACCGUGCGGUGGUGUGCGCUUGGAUUUCGGGGGGCCGCAUCGACUCGUCCCCGGGGAGCUGCGUCGUCGUGGGCGUUGACACAGAACACGAAGGGAAGCGACGAAUCGACUGCCCGAGCGACGGCGGGCGGCAGGAUCUGGCGCUAGUGCGAUGGCUCGUCGAGCCGCGGCAGAGGAAACUGUCCCUGGUGGAGUCAGCAGCAACUCAGCCACGGUUCAGGCCGCCCCAUCUCUGUCCGAUGCGCUGAACCACCGAGGAAGCCGCAUCGACUAAGCACAGGCGCCUGGCGGAGGCGACUCUGCUGUGCUGGGACGCUGCAGUCCCUUCAAUGCCGUGUGUCCGCGUCCGUCGUAGACGGCGUCCUCACCCCUGGCUUCUCCCUCGACCUCGCGGGCUGUCAGUGGCUUGCCCCACCAUCUCGAGUUCGCUGUGUUUUAUUUCUGAAUUUUUGAGACAGUAUUUGGUUGUCCACGCGCAGGCAACGACUAUUCCAUGUUCUCGUCGCUGGAGAUCGACUACACAGGAGCAUGGGUAGAGGCGAUAUGGUGGUGUACCCGCAAAAAAGAGAGGCAAUAUGGUGGUGGAUAUGGUGUCACCGCUGUUUCGCUGAAGAAUAUCUUGGACAUGUUGUAGAUUGAAUAUGUGGGAUAUGCUACAAUAUUAUAGAGAUUUAUCUGUAAA